rnacentral:rRNA from 1 species
GACCGAACCGACUUACGUUGAAAAGUGAGCGGAUGAACUGAGGGUAGCGGAGAAAUUCCAAUCGAACCUGGAGAUAGCUGGUUCUCUCCGAAAUAGCUUUAGGGCUAGCCUCAAGUGAUGAUUAUUGGAGGUAGAGCACUGUUUGGACGAGGGGCCCCUCUCGGGUUACCGAAUUCAGACAAACUCCGAAUGCCAAUUAAUUUAACUUGGGAGUCAGAACAUGGGUGAUAAGGUCCGUGUUCGAAAGGGAAACAGCCCAGACCACCAGCUAAGGUCCCAAAAUAUAUGUUAAGUGGAAAAGGAUGUGGCGUUGCCCAGACAACUAGGAUGUUGGCUUAGAAGCAGCCAUCAUUUAAAGAGUGCGUAAUAGCUCACUAGUCGAGUGACACUGCGCCGAAAAUGUACCGGGGCUAAACAUAUUACCGAAGCUGUGGAUUGUCCUUUGGACAAUGGUAGGAGAGCGUUCUAAGGGCGUUGAAGCAUGAUCGUAAGGACAUGUGGAGCGCUUAGAAGUGAGAAUGCCGGUGUGAGUAGCGAAAGACGGGUGAGAAUCCCGUCCACCGAUUGACUAAGGUUUCCAGAGGAAGGCUCGUCCGCUCUGGGUUAGUCGGGUCCUAAGCUGAGGCCGACAGGCGUAGGCGAUGGAUAACAGGUUGAUAUUCCUGUACCACCUAUAAUCGUUUUAAUCGAUGGGGGGACGCAGUAGGAUAGGCGAAGCGUGCGAUUGGAUUGCACGUCUAAGCAGUAAGGCUGAGUAUUAGGCAAAUCCGGUACUCGUUA